rnacentral:rRNA from 1 species
CACGUAGGGUGCGAGCGUUGCCCGGAAUUAUUGGGCGUAAAGAGCUCGUAGGCGGUGUGUCGCGUCGGCCGUGAAAACCUGCAGCUUAACUGUGGGCUUGCGGUCGAUACGGGCAUCACUGGAGUUCGGCAGGGGAGACUGGAAUUCCUGGUGUAGCGGUGAAAUGCGCAGAUAUCAGGAGGAACACCGAUGGCGAAGGCAGCUCGCUGGGACGGUACUGACGCUGAGGCGCGAAAGCGUGGGGAGCAAACAGG